UACGUAGGGUGCGAGCGUUGCCCGGAUUUAUUGGGCGUAAAGGGCGCGUAGGCGGCCACGCACGUCCGUUGUGAAAUCGCUCGGCUCAACUGGGCGGGGUCAGCGGAUACGGAGUGGCUGGAGCAAGCUAGGGGGCAAUGGAAUUCCCGGUGUAGUGGUGGAAUGCGUAGAUAUCGGGAGGAACACCAGUGGCGAAGGCGGUUGCCUGGAGCUUUGCUGACGCUGAUGCGCGAAAGCGUGGGGAGCGAUCCGG
rnacentral:rRNA from 1 species